GAUGAACGCUGGCGGCGUGCCUAACACAUGCAAGUCGAACGGAGUUAUUCUGAAUGAAGUUUUCGGAUGGAUUUUGGAUUAACUUAGUGGCGAACGGGUGAGUAACGCGUGAGUAACCUGCCUCGGAGUGGGGGACGAACAGUUGGAAACGACUGCUAAUACCGCAUAAGCCACGGUGCCGCAUGGCACAGCGGGAAAAGGAUUUAUUCGCUUCAGGAUGGACUCGCGUCCAAUUAGCUAGUUGGUGAGGUAACGGCCCACCAAGGCGACGAUUGGUAGCCGGACUGAGAGGUUGGCCGGCCACAUUGGGACUGAGACACGGGCCCAGACUCCUACGGGAGGCAGCAGUGGGGAAUAUUGCACAAUGGGCGAAAGCCUGAUGCAGCGACGCCGCGUGAGGGAAGAC
rnacentral:rRNA from 1 species